rnacentral:tRNA from 2 species
GGGGCCGUAGCUCAGCCUGGGAGAGCGUCCGACUAAAGACCGGAAAGUCGUGGGUUCAAAUCCCACCGGCCCCA